rnacentral:rRNA from 1 species
CAGUAGCCACGGUAACACGUAGGGUGCAAGCGUUAAUCGGAAUUACUGGGCGUAAAGCGUGCGUAGGCGGUGAGUUAAGUCUGCUGUGAAAUCCCCGGGCUCAACCUGGGAAUGGCAGUGGAUACUGGCUCGCUAGAGUGUGUCAGAGGAUGGUGGAAUUCCCGGUGUAGCGGUGAAAUGCGUAGAGAUCGGGAGGAACGUCAGUGGCGAAGGCGGCCAUCUGGGACAACACUGACGCUGAGGUACGAAAGCGUGGGGAGCAAACAGGAUUAGAUACCCGCGUAGUCCCUGUCUCUUAUAU